rnacentral:lncRNA from 1 species
UCGAAAACAUUACUUAUCCCUCUGGGUAAAAUAAACUCCUAAUUAACAGAGGCGAGAGAACUCUAUGAAAACAACUCAACUCAUAACCUAACUCAGAUAAAACUAAUAACCAUCCACAGCUUCACGCUGAGUCUUCGAACCUGUGUCAUUGAAAGGGUUGAAGAUUUUGGGGUGAGAACAAACCAUAUGUUCUCAGUAGGGAAUGAAAAUGCCAUAAAAGUAAUGAAUUUAAUGCAAAUAAUUAACUUACUUAGUAAAACUAUUUUGUUAAACUUUUGGAAAUACUUUUAUUUCUACUUCAGAUAAAUAAUUACUUUUCUUUAAAUUUCUAAAUUCAAACAGAUUUUAAUCACAAAAUUAGUCAUACUAAUCAUCUCUCAACCACAUAAUCAUAUUUCAACCACAUCUCACCUCAAUACAUCCGUGAACUAACAACACAAGUAAGGGAUUCAAACCAACAUACAAACAAGUCACACAGCAUAAUCACAAAGAAGUAAUACAAGCAAACUCAACCAAAUACAAAUGUGCAAACAACAUGAUGCAUGUCUAUUCCUAAUGCAGGCCAUGAGCUCAUGUGUCGGUUGCCUACCCGCUCCCGACAUUACCCGGGCACAAGUCCUAGAUAUGGCUUUCCAGAUGCAUACAAUGUGCUUAUAAGUCGUACGGCUAGGUCGCAUAUAGUGUGACUUUAAGUCGUACGGCUAGGCCGCAUACAGUGUGACUUUUCAAAUCAAUAAGCGUACAUCUGGAAAACAGUUCUCAGUGUGUGGGCGUCCCCACUUUACAUUUGGCACUAAGGCCCAAACAAUAUUACAUCUGCUCUCCUGUGGCAGUUAUUUCAUUAAUUCAUACAUUUAUUUAAUCUUUGUUCUCUGCUCUCUUGUAGCAGAGAUCCCUUUAAUUAUCUUUCUUUCCUUUACUUUUCGUUCUUCCUCUUCUUUUCUUUUGUAUCAAACCGAAUUCAAAACAUAACUUAAAGCAAAAUCACUUCUCAAAAGAUUGAGUUUAAAACAUCAUACUUUUCUUAAUAAAUCGGUUUGAAAACAAAACUCUUUUCGUAAUAAAUUGAAAUCAAGUAAUAUUCUUAAAUUAAAUUUAUUUUUAAAUAACACUUUAAAUAAAGUCUUAGAGUUUUAUAAAAAUUUGGCAGCAAUUCCUUUAAAAUUCGGGUUUUGCCACCCUUCAAGGAUCUCAACCUAACCACCUUUCAAACCCUUUUUAAAACAUUUUCAAGUAACAAAUCAUUUUCAAUAUUCACACCGUUCAAAAUAUCAAAUAGAAUCAAAUCAUUUUCUUUAAAGCUAAGCCUAUUUCUAUUUCAAUAAAAUUAGCCCGUUUCGAAUCUUAUGCUUUUGAAAUUAAAGGAAAUUCAUUUCUUCAUUCAAACUUUACAAAUUCCUCCAACCAUACUCAUUUAACAUUUAAUAUUAACCAAAAUCACAUUCUUGCGUAUUUUUACCAGCCCUUCAUCAGCACCUAUUCAUCGUCAUGCUAAUACCAAAAUCCCACUUCCAUAACCAUAAAUUCCAGCAUCAAACACAGCCUCAAUUCAAAUCCAAUUCAUAAACUCGAAUCACAUUUCAAUUUAACAAGCAACACCAAAUUGACCAACACUCACAAUUACAACCAAUUCUCAUCAAUUAGACACACAAAAUACGUGUAAAUUAUUUGCAAUUACUCAACAAGCUUUUGGCAUUCUUAAAUUAAAAACUUGUAAUUUUAAAAACGAAACUCCCUACCUUCGUAUGAAAUCAAAUCAACGAAAGCUCUGGAAAAACUUUCUGAUCGAGCUGCUGGAGAGAAAAGCGUCAGAAAUCAUCUGUGUCUCCUAGAGCUCCAGUUGGCCGAACUCAAGAGGCAGGAAAGCUACGUCACCGUCAAUUUCUACCGGACAAAAAUAAUACUGACAUAUAAAAGAGGAAAAUACAAAUACUUUUAUCGGAUUAAAUUUUUUAUUGGAAUUACAGAUCUUAAGAAAUCAAAAUCGAAAAAUCAAAGAGAGUCAUGGUUUCUUCCCUCACCCACGGUCUCUCUCUCGGCCUUUCUUUCUUCUCCCUGUCC